UACGUAGGGGGCAAGCGUUGUCCGGAUUUAUUGGGCGUAAAGAGCGUGUAGGCGGCCUGACAAGUCUGCUGUGAAAACUCGAGGCUCAACCUCGAGAUGUCGGCGGAAACUGUCUGGCUAGAGUCCGGAAGAGGAGAGUGGAAUUCCUGGUGUAGCGGUGAAAUGCGCAGAUAUCAGGAAGAACACCUAUGGCGAAGGCAGCUCUCUGGGACGGUACUGACGCUGAGACGCGAAAGUGUGGGGAGCGAACAGG
rnacentral:rRNA from 1 species